GACGAACGCUGGCGGCGUGCCUAAUACAUGCAAGUCGAGCGGACAGAAGGGAGCUUGCUCCCGGAUGUUAGCGGCGGACGGGUGAGUAACACGUGGGUAACCUGCCUGUAAGACCGGGAUAACUCCGGGAAACCGGAGCUAAUACCGGAUAGUUCCUAGAACCGCAUGGUUAAAGGAUGAAAGACGGUGUCGGCUGUCACUUACAGACUGACCCGUGGCGCAUUAGCUAGUGGGGGGGGUAAUGGCUCACCAAGGCGACGAUGCGGAGCCGACCUGAGAGGGUGAUCGGCCACACUGGGACUGAGACACGGCCCAGACUCCUACGGGAGGCAGCAGUAGGGAAUCUUCCGCAAUGGACGAAAGUCUGACGGAGCAACGCCGCGUGAGUGAUGAAGGUUUUCGGAUCGUAAAGCUCUGUUGUUAGGGAAGAACAAGUGCGAGAGUAACUGCUCGCACCUUGACGGUACCUAACCAGAAAGCCACGGCUAACUACGUGCCAGCAGCCGCAGUAA
rnacentral:rRNA from 1 species